rnacentral:rRNA from 1 species
AUGGCGCCAGACAACUCGACCACCCUGCGCUCGUCCAUCCAGCCGCAUCCGUCAUCGAAAUGCAGCUGCACCAUGCCGCCAACACUCGUCGCCAAUGACGCGGUAGAUACAACGCCGCACCACCUAGCAACCUCCGCACCAUCGCCACUGCUGGAGCUACUCGGAGCCCACCAUCCACAACAUAUCUCUCCCGAACAGCUCCUCCCAAGAUGGCGCCUCCAUGGAGGAUACGACGCGCAGGACGCCGCUGCCGCCCAAUCCAGACUGAAUUUUGGACUUUCGUCUGGGAGGGGUUCAGGAGUGGAUAGGGGGGACCUCGGCUUCGCCUCCAGGAAGGGUAACGGCAUCAUGUGA